rnacentral:rRNA from 1 species
CAGCCGCCGCGGGAAUACGGAGGGGGCUAGCGUUGUUCGGAAUUACUGGGCGUAAAGCGCACGUAGGCUGCUUUGUAAGUUAGAGGUGAAAGCCUGGUGCUCAACACCAGAACUGCCUUUAAGACUGCAGAGCUAGAACGUCGGAGAGGUGAGUGGAAUUCCGAGUGUAGAGGUGAAAUUCGUAGAUAUUCGGAAGAACACCAGUGGCGAAGGCGGCUCACUGGACGACUGUUGACGCUGAGGUGCGAAAGCGUGGGGAGCAAACAGGAUUAGAUACCCGCGUAGUCCCUGUCUCUUAUAC